rnacentral:lncRNA from 1 species
CUUGAGUGAUUUUUUUACAACUCGAAAAAUGUUAAAUAUAACAAAGAAAAAAAAACGGAAAAACGUUGGGCCCUAAAACAAGAGAUUCAUUUGUAAAAACAGGGGGAUUACAAAGUAAAGGCUGCAGAGAUAUCUCUAGCAUACAACCAAAUACCAAUUGUUGCAGAAUGGACAAAACAAACAAGGCAACAAAGAGAGAAAACCAGCAAUGAACAUCCAAAACUGAAGAAAUUAUACAGAACAAGCGAAAUUGCAUCAAAUUACCAGCAAGCAGAAAAAGGACAGUGUCGAUCAAUUCCUACUUUUGCCAUUGCAUCUGCCAAGCAAUUAAUUUCUCUGUACGCGAAAGUAAAUCUAACUUCCCCGAUCUCCAUGAUGAACCUAUCAAUAAAUUCACCAACAUCCCAAUACACCCACGGUUUAGAGCUUGGAUCAUUCACCCAUUGAACAGCAUUGGCAGAGUCGGAUUUGAUAAUCAAAUUAACUUUGUCAAACCAACCGGUUUUGGUGAAUACCUCCAAGGCUGUUUUGAUUGCUAAUAACUCGGCCAAAUUAGAGCAAAUAACCUGAAGCGGAUAAGAAACUGAUGCGACAAUAGAAUCCUUGUCAUUCCUGAGAACACCUCCACAUCCGCCAAGCUCGACUGCAAUUUUGACAGCUCCAUCGACAUCACAUUUUAAAGAGCCCGCGGGUGGGGGCACCAAGCUUAUUGUAAUUCAAGAUUUUGAUACCUCUGUUGGAAUACAAUUAAUGUGGGUAUUCCCACCAAAUAGCUUCCUAAAU